AGCCUUAUAGUCAAAUAAUGAUAUUAGACUGCAAUUCUGAAGGUGUAGUAGGACUACUAAGGCCU
rnacentral:tRNA from 1 species